rnacentral:rRNA from 1 species
GACGAACGCUGGCGGCGUGCUUAACACAUGCAAGUCGAACGAUGAAGCCGGAGCUUGCUCUGGUGAAUUAGUGGCGAACGGGUGAGUAACACGUGAGUAACCUGCCCUUGACUCUGGGAUAACUGCUAGAAAUGGUAGCUAAUACCGGAUACGACCCUCGGAGGCAUCUCCGGGGGGUGGAAAGAAUUUCGGUCAAGGAUGGACUCGCGGCCUAUCAGCUAGUUGGUGAGGUAACGGCUCACCAAGGCGACGACGGGUAGCCGGCCUGAGAGGGUGACCGGCCACACUGGGACUGAGACACGGCCCAGACGCCUACGGGAGGCAGCAGUGGGGAAUAUUGCACAAUGGGCGCAAGCCUGAUGCAGCAACGCCGCGUGAGGGAUGACGGCCUUCGGGUUGUAAACCUCUUUUAGUAGGGAAGAAGCGAAAGUGACGGUACCUGCAGAAAAAGCACCGGCUAACUACGUGCCAGCAGCCGCCGUAA